rnacentral:rRNA from 1 species
ACCCCAUAAUAUAUUUGAGUGGGCAUCACUUGAUAUUCGAAAACUCCGGUGGAUAGAGAUGGGCACGCGCAAGAUUAGAUAGUUGGUGAGGUAACGGCUCACCAAGUCAGCGAUCUUUAGGGGGCCUGAGAGGGUGAUCCCCCACACUGGUACUGAGACACGGACCAGACUCCUACGGGAGGCAGCAGUGAGGAAUAUUGGACAAUGGGUGAGAGCCUGAUCCAGCCAUCCCGCGUGAAGGACGACGGCCCUAUGGGUUGUAAACUUCUUUUGUAUAGGGAUAAACCUAGAUACGUGUAUCUAGCUGAAGGUACUAUACGAAUAAGCACCGGCUAACUCCGUGCCAGCAGCCGCGGUAAUACGGAGGGUGCAAGCGUUAUCCGGAUUUAUUGGGUUUAAAGGGUCCGUAGGCUGAUUUGUAAGUCAGUGGUGAAAUCUCACAGCUUAACUGUGAAACUGCCAUUGAUACUGCAAGUCUUGAGUGUUGUUGAAGUAGCUGGAAUAAGUAGUGUAGCGGUGAAAUGCAUAGAUAUUACUUAGAACACCAAUUGCGAAGGCAGGUUACUAAGCAACAACUGACGCUGAUGGACGAUAGCGUGGGGAGCGAACAGGAUUAGAUACCCUGGUAGUCCACGCCGUACACGAUGCUAACUCGUUUUUGGGUUUUCGGAUUCAGAGACUAAGCGAAAGUGAUAAGUUAGCCACCUGGCGGAGUACGAACGCAAGUUUGAAACUCAAAGGAAUUUGACGGGGGCCCGCACAAGCGGUGGAUUAUGUGGUUUAAUUCGAUGAUACGCGAGGAACCUUACCAAGGCUUAAAUGGGAAAUGACAGGUUUAGAAAUAGACUUUUUUUCGGACAUUUUUCAAGGUGCUGCAUGGUUGUCGUCAGCUCGUGCCGUGAGGUGUUAGGUUAAGUCCUGCAACGAGCGCAACCCCUGUCACUAGUUGCCAUCAUUAAGUUGGGGACUCUAGUGAGACUGCCUACGCAAGUAGAGAGGAAGGUGGGGAUGACGUCAAAUCAUCACGGCCCUUACGCCUUGGGCCACACACGUAAUACAAUGGCCGGUACAGAGGGCAGCUACACAGUGAUGUGAUGCAAAUCUCGAAAGCCGGUCUCAGUUCGGAUUGGAGUCUGCAACUCGACUCUAUGAAGCUGGAAUCGCUAGUAAUCGCGCAUCAGCCAUGGCGCGGUGAAUACGUUGUCCGGGC